UUCGAGCGUCAUUACACCCCUCCAGCCUCGCUGGGUCUUGGCGUCCGCGGUCCGCCGCGCGCCUCAAUGUCGCCGGCCGGUGCGCCUGUCCCCGAGCGUCGUGACCAUUCGGUUCGCUCGUGAGGGUCAGGGGCGUCGCGCCGUGAAACCUCUCCAUUCAGGUUGACCUCGGAUCAAGUAGGGAUACCCGCUGAACUUAA
rnacentral:misc_RNA from 1 species